CAAUAGAUUGAUGGCGACCGGCGCACGGGUGAGUAACACGUAUCCAACCUACCGGUUAUUCCGGGAUAGCCUUUCGAAAGAAAGAUUAAUACCGGAUAGUAUAACGAGAAGGCAUCUUCUUGUUAUUAAAGAAUUUCGAUAACCGAUGGGGAUGCGUUCCAUUAGUUUGUUGGCGGGGUAACGGCCCACCAAGACAUCGAUGGAUAGGGGUUCUGAGAGGAAGGUCCCCCACAUUGGAACUGAGACACGGUCCAA
rnacentral:rRNA from 1 species